rnacentral:misc_RNA from 1 species
GUUUGACUUGUAUCUCUACUAUGUUAUUGUGUGACUUAUUUGCUACAUAUUUUUCCUCAAAAGACACCACAAGCACAAAAAAGAAGGAAAAAGGCGGGGGGUGUGGAUGCAGACUAUUUCUUUAAAGGAUGAUGUUGAUAUUAAUUUCAUAUGUUAAUGAGAAAACAAACUAGGGAGCUUCCAUUUGACAUUUGAAUAAAUGUUCAGGAGUAGAAGUUCAGCAAAAAUUGGGGAUCUUCAGCAAAAAUUGGGGAUCUCUGGUGUUACGGAAAUACAAUAAAAGGAAAGGUCAACAUCCUAAUUUUUACAAGCCCAGAUUGAUUAAAACCAAUCAUUCAGAAUAAAA